GCCAGAGUAGCUCAGUAGGUAGAGCGACUGACUGUUAAUCAGUAGGUCGUAGGUUCGAAUCCUUCCUCUGGCG
rnacentral:tRNA from 10 species